ACGCACGCUGGCGGCAGGCUUAACACAUGCAAGUCGAACGCCCCGCACGGGGAGUGGCAGACGGGUGAGUAACGCGUGGGAACAUACCCUUUUCUACGGAAUAGCUCUGGGAAACUGGAAUUAAUACCGUAUACGCCCUACGGGGGAAAGAUUUAUCGGGGAAGGAUUGGCCCGCGUUGGAUUAGCUAGUUGGUGGGGUAAAGGCCUACCAAGGCGACGAUCCAUAGCUGGUCUGAGAGGAUGAUCAGCCACAUUGGGACUGAGACACGGCCCAAACUCCUACGGGAGGCAGCAGUGGGGAAUAUUGGACAAUGGGCGCAAGCCUGAUCCAGCCAUGCCGCGUGAGUGAUGAAGGCCUUAGGGUUGUAAAGCUCUUUCACCGAUGAAGAUAAUGACGGUAGUCGGAGAAGAAGCCCCGGCUAACUUCGUG
rnacentral:rRNA from 1 species